rnacentral:sRNA from 1 species
UCUACCACUGAGCUAAAUCCCAACCCUGGCCGGAAGUCUCUUAAACAGAGGCUGACUUCCAUACUUUGUAGGUCUGUUGCUUCCUUCUUUCCCCCUACUUGUCCUGUCUAGAUACCUGCCUCUGUGCCUGCCUGCCGUUUUUCUUCACAGAGCCUUCUGGGAAUAAAAAGCAUCCAUUUCCUAAAGCCUGCUUCUGUUUUCCUUAACUAUGUCCCUCUAACUAUUCUUAAUACCCUGAGGUGGUUUGAAUAAUAAUGCCCCCCUCCCAGACUCAUACAUUUGAAAGCAUAAUCACUAGCAAAUGACACCAUUGAAAGGAUUAUAAGGAUUAGGAAGUGUGACCUUGUUGUAGGCCAUGUGUCACUACGGGUGGGCUUUGAAGUUUCAAAAGCCAACACCAGACCACUGGUGCCUAUAGAUCAGGAUAUAACUCUCAGGUUACUGUUCCAGUGCCUAUCUGCAGUGCUGUCAUUCUUGCUGCCUUGGUGAUAAUGGACUAAACCUCUGUAGCUAUAAGCAAGUUCUUAAUUAAAGGCUUUCUCUUAAAAGAGUUGCCUUGGUCAUGUUGUCUCUUCACAGCACUAUAGUUGCAGCAAAGUGACUAAGACAUAUCUGCCUCGGAGAUUGACACUGCUGUCGGAGGAAUGGAUGUUGACUGCUUUACUUACUUCCUGCUCAGAGGAGUGGCAUCUAGAGAUAAAUGUAGCCCUCACUCGUCAUAAAAGAAGCAUGUCUUUGCAGAAAACAGACAAUUUCAGAAAACUGCAGCUAGUCAAAAUGCAGUGAAGAACUGAAUGUAGGUUUGCCCAAGCACCUCUGAAGUUCAUGAAACAUCAUAGAAGGAUGGAAAGUUUUAAACCAAGGCGAUGCUGUCCUGCAGUUAAGUAGUCCUUCUUUAGAUGCCUGUCCUGCAGUUAAAUGGUCCUUCUUUAGAUGCCUAUACUUUAAUACUGUAUAUUUAUUGAUAUCUAUAAACAAGAAGGCUUUUUUGCGUGUUCUUGAACUUUACAUAAAGGGAACUAAACAGAAAAAAUGGAACAGAAUUCAGAACAAUAUAUUUUAAGCAAUUUCAGUUAUUAAACUGCUUCUUUUCCUUCCUUCCAUACCUCCCAUCUCCCUUCCCUCCUCUCUUUUCCUCUGCCCAUCCAUACCUUUUCUCCAAUUCUCAAUUUCUUGCUGCCUUACUUUUCCUUAGUGGUGUGCAAAUAGUUGUGUGGUUGUUCACCUGUUUUCUUCAUUUGUACCCUCUUAACUAAAAUAUCUCUUGUGCCAAAGGAAUCCUUCUGUGCCAAAUCCUUGUACUUAAGAAGUCACUGGCAGCAACUUAGAGGUCUGCUGAAGUGUUUGCAAAUGCCUACGAUCCUAGCAUGUGCUCAGGAGGAGCUGGCUGGCCCUGGACAAGGUCCUGUUGCACUUUCCCAGGGCUCAGGUAUGCAUCUAAACUGUCUCUUAUGAGCAUGUUGGAAUCAGGAAAGUUAUGCACAUCAAUGUCUGUAAGGCUCAGAAUAUCUAAUGGAAAUAGUGCUUACAGGAAGCAGAUGAGCUCUACGGUGAGUGGCUGCUUACUGCUACUGUCCUUGUCAGAAUAGACAUAGUAAUUUUGGAGAUGGGUCAUAGCUCUUGAGUGGAGUAUGGCCAUAUGUUUGAAGUGACCCAGGAUAUGUCUUUGAUUUAUUAUAAAAUAGUCACUGCCCAGAGAGCCGCAUGUGGCAGGUGAGGUCAAGGUCAGUGCUUGGCUUUGUGGCGCUGUGCAACUGUCCUCACCCCAUACGUGGGAGGUGACUCAGGCCACUGUAGGAAGGAGUUAUUCAGAAAAAUACUUUUUGAUGACCUAAUUUUGGGCAGUUGAAAGUGCCACAUUAUUGCUGAAAUGAACUUUGGACAACAGAGUGACUUUCUGUCUGCUUUCAGUCCUCUUUUCCACACUCUACUUCUUUUGCUGCUGUACCAGCAAUGGUGAAGAAAGAUAAUAUUUGACCUUCCAAUGGGACAGAUUGGGAGCAAUAGAGGUAUAACAAUCUAAAGCAUUUUAGAAGAUUCUUUGUGAGAACAAUUUUAGGUUAUUCUUAAAGAUACUCAUUAGCAAAUUCAUUGGUAUACAUAUAUUUCUGUUUAACUUCUUUUGAUGCUGUUAUUAAGAAAAGUUAAAUGUCUAGCAACAUGUAUACAGUGGUAUCAAACAGGUACUCUUUUGGUAUUCUGAAACCAAAGUCAAAGAAGUGUUUCUCCAUCACCUGAAGCUUCCUUUAUUCCUUUAAUGCAUUCCACCAUGGAGUAAUAUGGUAUCAAAUCGAUGUGUGUGUGUGUGUGUGUGUGUGUGUGUGUGUGUGUGUGCGUGCAUGCAUUUAUAUAUCAGUGUGUAUACAGUUAAUGUGAAUUUUAAAUGUAUAAACAAUGUAUACACUAUAGAUACUAUAUGUAACCCCAAUUUCCCUCUCCAACUUCUGUCAUGUCCCCCCAAACAUGCCUGCUCCUAAUUUCAUAUCUUUUUUUGUAACUCUAUUAGUCCAAUUAUUGUUCCCCAUAGGAAACCUACUCAAGACCCAGCUAUACCACUUCUGAGCAUAUACCCAAAAGAUGCUCCACCAUUCCACAAAGAC